rnacentral:rRNA from 1 species
AUGAAGCUUUAGACGUAAGGUAGCCCAGAAUACAAAGGCCCCCUCAUAAGGGGACAAACCAAAAGGCCCACUACCCCGAUGUCUUUGGUUGGGGCGACCGCGGGGAAAGAUAAAACCCCCACGUGGAACGGGAGUACAACUCCUUAAACUCAGAGCCACAGCUCUAAGAAGCAAAAUUUUUGACCUAAAGAUCCGGCAAUGCCGAUCAACGGACCG